rnacentral:lncRNA from 1 species
UGUGGCUGUGCGGACGGACAAAUAGGGAACGCGUUCCGGCUCUAGAUGCUCUACAUUAGGACCCCUCAAACGCCCCUCAAACGUCCGGGCAGGCCGUCCAGUCAUUUGCCGGUCACAAAAAUUCAACCCGAACGGGCCUCUCAAAUCAGCCUCAAAUACCCGGACUAACUGGCACCCCUCAUAUCCAGUCCAAAUAUGGGGCGGAUAUGGGGGAGCCCGGGCGCCCAGGCACGCCCGCCUGACAGGUCUGGCCCACCGUCGUCCCCACCGUCAUGUCAACCCGGCCCACCACACACCAUUAAAU